rnacentral:lncRNA from 1 species
CAGGAAUCUCCUUGUUGUACAGGUGACAAGAUCAGGUUAAUCACAUCUGUACUACAAUCCCCUAAUGUCCUAAUUUGUAUGUUAUUGUCUCUAGCAUAUAUCAGGAACUGCUAGUUGGCAUUGUCUGGGAGAAAAAAGACAGUUUUUUUUUUUUUUUUUUUUUUUUUUUUUUUUUAUGCCCAGGAGCAACUGAAUUUCAGAACACAGCCAGAGACUGACUGGUAAGAAUCUGCAAUUUUGACAUUUAGUUUCUCCUUCCCUCUCAGUGAAGGUCUGUGAGCAUUCACAUUUUGCUGGGAGUCUGGAACCAAUAAGGAGUGUGUUCUCAUUUCCGCCAAUGGAAAGCAAAUCCUCAGGAAAGCUUGGGGAUCUCCUUCAGAGCUGCUGAUUCAUUUCUCCCUCACAUCUAAACGUGCACUGCCGCAGAAACCAUGAAAAAGAAAUUGGAUGACAGACAAAAUGAAACUCGUCCUAGGUCAUGUAUACAGUAACAAACAAAAGAGAAAAGCGUCCCGGGGCAGCUACAGAUCAUGGAGAAGCAUGUGGUGUGAAAUUAAACAUCAACUCUGCAGGUUCAACUUCCAGGUUGUUGUUGCUGUUUUUUAGGAUACAGGCUUCAGAAUUGAAGAGCCCUCAUCAAGUGGCUGAUGGAAGCAGAGACAGACAUCCACAGAUAUACACUGAGCUGAAAUCGAGAAUUUAGUUGAAGAGAGGGAGGAAUGAAGAGCAAAGGGGUUAGUACCAGGUUGGAGACACCAACAGGAACAAUUGGCCUGAACAAGGGAGAGCAAAUUGACCCCAGAUGCUGUCUGGGAGGCCAGUACAAGACUGAUCCAGACCCCUGAACAUGGAUAUCAGUAAGGAGGUCUCUGCACUCCAGGGAGCCUCUGGUGGUGGAUUAGUAUUUUUCCCAGUGCAAGAAGGGAUUUUGAGAGCCCAUCCCAUGUGAAGGGUUAAACUCUGGACCUGGACACAUGGGGAAGGGACCAGGACCAGCACAGGAAGAUUUUGUGGACUUUGCAGAGCCCCUGUUGAGGGCCCUACCCUGCCUGGGG